GCGUUGGGCUCGUUCGACAUUGGAAUGCUGCUUAAAAGCUCUACAGCAUGUGCGCAUGGCAUGUGAGCUCGCGCUGCCCUACUGACACACAUUUUAUGUUAAUGAGCUGCCGGGGCUCGGAGAUAAGCGCGAGGAAGCCAGCAGAGAUGCGAAAACAGAGUGAGAUGUCUCACUCGGAGGGGUUUUAUCAUCGGGAUUGGGAGAAGCGGCGUAUGAGCAUCGCUUGGAUAGACGAUCUCUGCUUGAGAAAGCCGACACGUGCGGAGAGGGCGGACCUCAGCGUGACUCCCUUUUCUCUGCCCGCACCCCUCCCCCGCUCCGUCACGUUUGCUCUCUCCCGCACAUUGUGAUAGCUGGGAGUUUCACCGGAGAGCGGCUGGGACACAGCAAAUGUGAGCUGAAUUACAAUCUCCUCGCCGCAGGCGGAGGCUGGUGCAGAAUGAGGCUAUGGGGGCAAGGGCUGUUUGGGAUGAAACCUG